UACGUAGGGUGCAAGCGUUAAUCGGAAUUACUGGGCGUAAAGCGUGCGCAGGCGGUUAUGUAAGACAGAUGUGAAAUCCCCGGGCUUAACCUGGGAACUGCAUUUGUGACUGCAUAGCUAGAGUACGGUAGAGGGGGAUGGAAUUCCGCGUGUAGCAGUGAAAUGCGUAGAUAUGCGGAGGAACACCGAUGGCGAAGGCAAUCCCCUGGACCUGUACUGACGCUCAUGCACGAAAGCGUGGGGAGCAAACAGGAUUA
rnacentral:rRNA from 1 species